UUUGCACAGAGAAGGUCUGACAGACAGACAGUGUUUGACUCAGCAGCAGCACCAGCUCCUUCUACCUUCCUCUCCAAAAGCCUUCCUGUGGGGCUGCAGUCUGCUCAGCCCUGGACCUAGAUUCACCACACCAAAGCUACUAGGGCAGUAUGUAUUGCCUGUCGCCUCCUCAUGCCACUGGCCACCAGUCACACUACUUGGCGCUGUUGGAUGCCCAAGACCCUGCCGCUGUAAGUCAUCAGCCUCCUGAAGAGAGAGGAUAAAUCAUGGUUUGAUUGAAAAAGUAAAAAACAGCAACAUCCAUCCAUCCAUAGAAUGAAGGUGGAGCAACAGUGGUGGGUAGUGCUCUUCUUCCAAUGGCAGAAAGGGAAAGGGGGAUACUUAGU